rnacentral:siRNA from 1 species
CACGCUUGGUGAUGACAUUUGUG